rnacentral:rRNA from 1 species
GGCGAGCUUGGGGCCGGAGGACGGGGGAAGACGGAGGUGGAAAGCGGUGUUGGGAGUGAGUGGGCGUACAGGGAGCGUAGGCGGUUGGGUAAGCCCUCCGUGAAAUCUCCGGGCCUAACCCGGAAAGUGCGGAGGGGACUGCUCGGCUAGAGGAUGGGAGAGGAGCGCGGAAUUCCCGGUGUAGCGGUGAAAUGCGUAGAGAUCGGGAGGAAGGCCGGUGGCGAAGGCGGCGCUCUGGAACAUUUCUGACGCUGAGGCUCGAAAGCGUGGGGAGCAAACAGGAUUAGAUACCCGGUAGUC